rnacentral:lncRNA from 10 species
UUUAAAUCUCUGAUUAUUAUAGUUGGUGCUAGGAUGGAGAAGGUUCUAAAGUUCUUGGUAAGAUAAAAAAGUGACCUGUAAAUAGGAGUUAAACAAUUUUUUGUUUGUUUGUUUGUGAUGGAGUUUCUCUCUUGUUGCCCAGGCUGGAGUUCAAUGGCAGGAUCCCGGCUCACUGCAACCUCCACCUCCCAGGUUCAAGCAAUUCUCCUGCCUCAGCCUCCCGAGUAGCUGGAAUUACAGGCAUGCACCGCCACACCCGGCUAAUUUUGUAUAUUUUGGUUUAAAAUAUGAAAUAUAUACUUUUAUAUUUCUUUUACCAGUGAGCCUUAUUCUCUUUUGAUAAUUCAGAAAAGAUCCCCAUGGAAGUUUUUGUUAGUCCAUUUACUCUGAAAGAAAUAAAAAUUCUUUAACUUGAAAAAUUCUAAUUUAUUUAAUUAGUCUUAAGGCUAAAUGUAUGAGUACUUAAAGAGGUUGUAUCAGUCUAUAAGCUAUUUAAUAUAAACCCAUCAAUUAAUGCCUUAAAAUCAAUAUCUUAUGUACUGUUUAAGUUGUACAUAUUUUAUUAAUUUUCAAUUUAGUAAUUCUUACCAGUACAGUAAGUAAAAACAUCCUAAUAAAUUAUUUAUUGCAAAGAUAAUUUACAAAGAAAACACUCAAUUGCCCAUUUGCCAGGUUGUAAAAAGAUCAAACAUCACGGUGAAUAUUUAUGAAUUCAUGUAUUUGGUGAGACAAUGAACAGAUAUAAAGAAUAACAUUGUAGAUAACACAUCUGUUAACAAAAGAAAAAUACCUUAAAGAUUUUUUCUAGAUUAAUAAGGUAGGCUUUGGGGUGAAAUGGCUUGUGUUCAAAUCAUGGCUUAUUCA